rnacentral:piRNA from 1 species
UGCCCCAGAUAAUCUACAGAAAACUUUGCU